rnacentral:rRNA from 1 species
AACGAACGCUGGCGGCAUGCCUAACACAUGCAAGUCGAACGAGACCUUCGGGUCUAGUGGCGCACGGGUGCGUAACGCGUGUGAACCUGCCCUUAGGUUCGGAAUAACUCCCCGAAAGGGGUGCUAAUACCGGAUAAUGUCUUCGGACCAAAGAUUUAUCGCCUUUGGAUGGGCCCGCGUUGGAUUAGCUAGUUGGUAGGGUAAAAGCCUACCAAGGCGACGAUCCAUAGCUGGUCUGAGAGGAUGAUCAGCCACACUGGGACUGAGACACGGCCCAGACUCCUACGGGAGGCAGCAGUGGGGAAUAUUGGACAAUGGGCGAAAGCCUGAUCCAGCAAUGCCGCGUGAGUGAUGAAGGCCUGAGGGUUGUAAAGCUCUUUUACCCGGGAUGAUAAUGACAGUACCGGGAGAAUAAGCUCCGGCUAACUCCGUG